rnacentral:rRNA from 1 species
UCCGGAUUUAUUGGGUUUAAAGGGUCCGUAGGCGGACUAAUAAGUCAGUGGUGAAAUCCUAUAGCUCAACUAUAGAACUGCCAUUGAAACUGUUAGUCUUGAAUUAUUUGGAAGUUGGCGGAAUGAGUAGUGUAGCGGUGAAAUGCAUAGAUAUUACUCAGAACACCGAUUGCGAAGGCAGCUGACUACGAAUAUAUUGACGCUGAUGGACGAAAGCGUAGGUAGCGAACAGGAUUAGAUACCCUGGUAGUCUACGCCGUAAACGAUGGAUACUAGUUGUCGGGAAAAUUGAGACUCGGUGGCUAAGCGAAAGUGAUAAGUAUCCCACCUGGGGAGUACGAUCGCAAGAUUGAAACUCAAAGGAAUUGACGGGGGCCCGCACAAGCGGUGGAGCAUGUGGUUUAAUUCGAUGAUACGCGAGGAACCUUACCUGGGCUUAAAUGUAUUUUGACAGGACUGGAAACAGUUUUUCCCGCAAGGGCAAUUUACAAGGUGCUGCAUGGUUGUCGUCAGCUCGUGCCGUGAGGUGUCAGGUUAAGUCCUAUAACGAGCGC